rnacentral:tRNA from 1 species
GCGCCUAUAGCUCAACUGGAUAGAGUGUCUGACUACGAAUCAGAAGGUUAGGGGUUCGAGUCCCUUUGGCGCACCA